rnacentral:rRNA from 1 species
GACGGAGGAUGCAAGUGUUAUCCGGAAUCACUGGGCGUAAAGCGUCUGUAGGUGGUCAAAUAAGUCAACUGUUAAAUCUUGAGGCUUAACCUCAAAAUCGCAGUCGAAACUAUUAGACUAGAGUAUAGUAGGGGUAAAGGGAAUUUCCAGUGGAGCGGUGAAAUGCGUAGAGAUUGGAAAGAACACCGAUGGCGGAGGCACUUUACUGGGCUAUUACUAACACUCAGAGACGAAAGCUAGGGUAGCAAAUGGG